AUACGGAGGAUGCGAGCGUUAUCCGGAUUUAUUGGGUUUAAAGGGAGCGUAGGUGGGAUAUUAAGUCAGCUGUGAAAGUUUGGGGCUCGACCUUAAAAUUGCAGUUGAUACUGGUUUCCUUGAGUACGGUACAGGUGGGCGGAAUUCGUGGUGUAGCGGUGGAAUGCUUAGAUAUCACGAAGAACUCCGAUCGCGAAGGCAGCUCACCGGGCCGGAACUGACACUGAUGCUCGAAAGUGCGGGUAUCAAACAGGAUUAGAUACCCUGGUAGUCCGCACAGUAAACGAUGAAUACUCGCUGUUUGCGAUACACUGUAAGCGGCCAAGCGAAAGCGUUAAGUAUUCCACCUGGGGAGUACGCCGGCAACGGUGAAACUCAAAGGAAUUGACGGGG
rnacentral:rRNA from 1 species